ensembl:lincRNA Gm28876 predicted gene 28876
AGUAGCUCUCUAGGCCUAGGUACCGGUGGGAGGGAGGCUGGCGGAGGGGGAGACAGCACCCCCAGUUUUUUUGCCCAGCCUGUUUGUCUAGGGAAACUCGGAUCCCCGGGCCCUCCUUUUUCUUUACAGCAGUGUUCUUCGUUCCACUCCUGACCGACAGCACAGCCAGGGCCUUCUAUUCCAACACCUCUUCCAGCGACCUGGUCAGGUGUGGCCAAUGGAAGCAAGAGCCCAGUGAAGUCGCCUAAGUCCGAGGGCAUGGUGUAACUCACACGGAGCACAACCCUACUUGGAAUGGACCAUUCGUGGCUUUAGAAUCUUGAUGGACACGAGCAACUGUCGGCACAAUCUAUUUAAGAGUAUUCUGAGCCCUCAGAGAGCAGCCUUCUGCCCACAGGUGACCAAAUCCUUAUCCUCAAUAACCCUUCUAACUGAGCAGCCAACGAGCUGCCCUCUACCUAUUCAGGACAGCCUAGGAAUGGCUUCAUGCAGUAGGUGGCCUUCUGUGAUUGGCUCCUUUUCCUUGGUUCUUAUGCGUUGCUGUGUCAAAGCACGCAUCCAUUCUCCUUCCUUCUCAUGGAUGAGUUACUUCAACGGUAGACAGACCACCUUCCAGGUAUGUGUUCAUCAGUACAUGGGCAUUUAGGUUGUUCCCAUGUCCAGAAAUUAUGAUUUUCUAUGUCUCUAGACAGUUUGAAUCAU